rnacentral:rRNA from 1 species
GACGAACGCUGGCGGCGUGCCUAAUACAUGCAAGUCGAACGCAGUGGGGACGGGUGAGUAACACGUGGGUAACCUCACAUAAGAGGGGAUAACACUGGGAAAAAGGUGCUAAACCGAUACUGAUGGAUGGACCCGCGGUGCAUUGGCUAGGUGGUGAGGUAACGGCUCACCAAGGCCACGAGGCAGAGCCGACCGGGGCGGGUGGUCGGCCACCCUGGGCCUGAGACACGGCCCAGGCUCCUACGUGAGGCAGCAGUAUGGAAUCGUCGGCAAUGGACGAAAGUCUGACCGAGCAACGCCGCGUGAGUGAAGAAGGUUUUCGGUGCGUAAAACUCUGUUGUUAGUGAAGCGGUAUCUAACCAGAAAGCCACGGCUAACUACGUGCCAGCAGCCGCGGUAAUUC